CCUCCGGGAACAAAACAAUUGAAUUUACAAAAAUAAAGUGUUAUUUGACUGGAGUGAGGUCUCAUGUCUGCUUAUGCGGUGGCUCGCUGCUCAGAACAGGAUGGCAGAGAUGAGCACCACCAUCAAAAACUCAAGGACCAGUGCUGUGGGUCCAGUCAUCUGUUUCAUGGAAUUCACCAGUCUGGUAUCUUCAAAAUCCAGAAGGAUGAUGGCAGAUGGCAGGAAGGAGGAAGAGGGUAAUCUGGAAGAGUUUCCUGACCUACUCUGCUGCUGUGAUUAAACAACCACCAGGAAAUUUUGAUGACACUGUUCUCCUGAGCUCCUCCCUUUCCUCGGGGAAGAAAAGCAUUGAAACUACAAAAAUAAAGUGUUAUUUGGCUGGAGUGAGGUCUCAUGUCUGCUUAUGCGGUGGCUCGCUGCUCAGAACAGGGAACCAUUGGAGAUACUCAUUACUCUUUGAAGGCUUACAGUGGAAUGAAUUCAAAUACGACUUAUUUGAGGAAUUGAAGUUGACUUUAUGGAGCUGAUAAGAAUCUUCUUGGAGAAAAAAAGACUGGUACUUCUGAAUUAACCAAAAUCACAGUAUUCUGAAGAUGAUUCUACAAAGCCUGCUGUUUCUACAAAGGCUGCUGAUGAUUUCUACAAAGCCUGCUGUAGUGUUGCUGUGGCCUCUGCUUAAAAAAGUAGAAAACACAUUGAUGCAGCAUGUUCACCCCAACCUCCCUGCCUAAAGGCUCAGGGACCAUCUUGGAAGAGGAAGGCGCGUGAGAUUGUAAGAGCCGAAUUAGGGGGAUGGAGUGUGGAGAAUAAGGACACUUCAUCUUGGAUGCUCACCUGCCAAAUUGACUUCUGAUGAAAGCCAGCUCCAGAAAUGUGCCUACAGUUACUACUUUCACCUAAACCCUGCCCUUAGUCAAAUCCUUCUCUUCUUCUAAGCAAUCAACUUCAAUUCCUUGUAUAACCCACAGUAUAAAAGGGCUUUUAUACCAUUCUAUCCUAUUGCAUGUAAGCCUUGGGUCUGGGAGGUAACAGUGUGGGAUUCCACCAUCUCAUCUCCCUGCCACCCAAACAUGCCUGCUCUUCUUUAAGCAAUAUUAAAUGUUUGUACUUCAGAAA
rnacentral:lncRNA from 1 species